CUUUCUUAUCACCGCUUAUUGCAGGAGCAGAGCUGGCAUUGGACGAGUUCUGGGACAAACACACAUUCUCUUUAUCACCACUAUUUUUACUUUUCACUUGUUUGUUAUCCUCUUCUUCAACCAUCUCCAUCAUCCCAAAUUCAUUCAUUCGGAACUGAAAUCAACAGCAAAUUAUAUGAGAAUCGGCAAUGUCCCAACACCGUCUUGCCAAUCGAGUGCCUUGGCAGGAUCAAAGUUUGGAUCAUUUUGAUGAGAGGAGUUGACCGCCUCCUUAGAUUCAACAGCAUGACUUCCGGCCUUGCGUUCGUGGUGCAAGUCAGUCACAGUAUCGUCUUUGCUUGGCAUUGCCUUUAUGAUUUCUAUUUUUAUCUCGUCAUCCAAUGCGGAGUCUUGCCUGAGUCUCUUAUCUUCACUAGGUACCACUUUGAUUAAAGUUAUGUCAUCGUCAUUCUGCUGCUUUUUAUCUUUUUCCUUAUCUAGUUCAGAAUUUUUUGGUGGGGGCUUGACACUGGGAGCGGUGUCCUGAACUGACUUUGCUGGCUGUUUCUUCGCCCGUUUGUCGCUGUUUCCCCGUAAAAUAUUGCUUAUAGUUUUCUUGCGUUUUUCCGGUGGUGCCUCCUCAUCUUUACUAGGAAUUGGUGUUAUGACCGCUGAGUCAGCAUUCUCUGUUAUUUUAAUACCGUCUUUUGCACUUCCACUUCCUUUUACCGAUUUCAGCAGGCCCAUUUUAGUUAAGGGAUGUAAAGGUGGAGGUUGAAGUCCAGAAUUGCCGCCUUUUGACUCACGCAACACU
rnacentral:misc_RNA from 1 species